UACGUAGGGGGCGAGCGUUGUCCGAAGUUACUGGGCGUAAAGCGCGCGUAGGCGGACUUUUAAGUUGGGGGUGAAAACUCAGGGCUCAACCUUGAGCGUGCCUUCAAAACUGGGAGUCUUGAGGUAUGGAGAGGUAAGUGGAAUUCCUGGUGUAGCGGUGAAAUGCGUAGAUAUCAGGAGGAACACCCGUGGCGAAGGCGGCUUACUGGUCAUAUCCUGACGCUGAGGUGCGAAAGCCAGGGGAGCGAACGGG
rnacentral:rRNA from 1 species